rnacentral:sRNA from 1 species
UAAUUUUUUUUAAAUGUACUUUAUUUAUGUCUAUGUGUGUGUACCUGCUUGUCUAUAUGUAUAACAAAUGCAUGCAUGUAGUGUCUUGAAGAGACCAGAAGCAGUUAUGGAAUCCCUUGGUGCUGGAGUUAACUAGAAGUGGUCAUGAGCUGCCUGACGUGACUGCUGGGACCCAACAUGGGUCCUCUCCAAGAACACUUAGGUGAAUUAGACAUUGGCUCACCAUCACAAGAAAUGGCUAUCGAAGGAGUUAGCAAGAAAACACACUGGCUUGGUGCUGCGGCCUACACCUCUGGCUGAAUCUUUUCUUUAUUCGUGGACUGAGAAGAAGGAAACCCCCCAUCCUCCAACAGACCUUCUGAAAAAUGAGUGCGUCUCCGUGUUCCUGCUCUGAGUGACCACAGGGCUCUGAGUGGCUUCUCUUCUCCCAUCCGGUGAAAUUGAUUUUUAAACACACUGAAUUGAUUAAAGCGUUGGGCCAGGAUGGGGCAGAGGAGCGGGCAGAAAUAAGAGCUGUUUGGUUCUUAUAUUAACUUCCUUCUUGUCGAGGCAUCCUGUGCCUGGGGAAGUGAAGCCUGCUGGGUACACUUAUCCAGGUGAACUGUGGCUUGGCCUCUGUGGAAGGAAACAGUCGAUGAAGGGCCACUGAGGUACAGCUGCGUCCCUGUUCACAGGGCAGCAACGAAUCAGGAAUGGGUCACGUCCUGCCCAUGCACGGGCGCCAACGAUGCUAGACAGAGCAUAGCUACUGUAACAUCUGCGGAUGCCUCUUUAGGCUGCGUGAAUGUGUUUGUCAGUAAUGACUUUGGUAUGUGGGGGUUGAUUGAAUAUGGGCAUUAAUUUGAUUUCCUGAGGCUUCAGGACCAAGACUUCAGGUGUAACUUUCUGUAGACAAUGUAUCCAUCUGCUUAUAUCUCUGAAGAGGUUUUAGAAAGAUGGUUGUCUAAUUAACCCUCCCCCCCAAUAACUUCAAAAAUAAAAUAGCCACCCUUGGGCCGUUCGA